rnacentral:misc_RNA from 1 species
CCGAGUACCGGUACCCUCUGGGUACCUACUCCCACCUUUUGUGAACCUUUUUCGUUGCCUCGGCGGACCGUACGGUACCCGUCCCUCGGCCCAGGCUGGGGAGCGUCCGCCGAUGGAUUUUCAAACCAGUCUCAACAUGAAAUCUGAGUCUAAACAAAUAAAAACA